rnacentral:rRNA from 1 species
GAGUGAACGCUGGCGGUAGGCCUAACACAUGCAAGUCGAACGGCAGCACAGUAAGAGCUUGCUCUUACGGGUGGCGAGUGGCGGACGAGUGAGGAAUACAUCGGAAUCUACUUUUUCGUGGGGGAUAACGUAGGGAAACUUACGCUAAUACCGCAUACGACCUACGGGUGAAAGCAGGGGAUCUUCGGACCUUGCGCGAUUGAAUGAGCCGAUGUCGGAUUAGCUAGUUGGCGGGGUAAAGGCCCACCAAGGCGACGAUCCGUAGCUGGUCUGAGAGGAUGAUCAGCCACACUGGAACUGAGACACGGUCCAGACUCCUACGGGAGGCAGCAGUGGGGAAUAUUGGACAAUGGGCGCAAGCCUGAUCCAGCCAUACCGCGUGGGUGAAGAAGGCCUUCGGGUUGUAAAGCCCUUUUGUUGGGAAAGAAAAGCAGCAGGUUAAUACCCCGCUGUUCUGACGGUACCCAAAGAAUAAGCACCGGCUAACUUCGUG